rnacentral:rRNA from 1 species
CCAGACUCCUACGGGAGGCAGCAGUGGGGAAUAUUGCACAAUGGGGGGAACCCUGAUGCAGCGACGCCGCGUGAGUGAAGAAGUAUUUCGGUAUGUAAAGCUCUAUCAGCAGGGAAGAAAAUGACGGUACCUGACUAAGAAGCCCCGGCUAACUACGUGCCAGCAGCCGCGGUAAUACGUAGGGGGCAAGCGUUAUCCGGAUUUACUGGGUGUAAAGGGAGCGUAGACGGUUAUGCAAGUCUGAAGUGAAAGCCCAAGGCUCAACCAUGGGACUGCUUUGGAAACUGUAAAACUGGAGUGCAGGAGAGGUAAGCGGAAUUCCUAGUGUAGCGGUGAAAUGCGUAGAUAUUAGGAGGAACACCAGUGGCGAAGGCGGCUUACUGGACUGUAACUGACGUUGAGGCUCGAAGGCGUGGGGAGCAAACAGGAUUAGAUACCCGAGUA